ensembl:lncRNA
UAUACGUCCCCGAUUAUACACCCCUGAUAUACAUCCCCGAUUAUACGCCCCUGAUUAUACGUCCCCGAUUAUACACCCCCUGAUUAUACGUCCCCGAUUAUACGCCCCUGAUUAUACGUCCCCGAUUGUACACCCCUGAUUAUACAUCCCCGAUUAUACGCCCCUGAUUAUACGUCCCCGAUUAUACACCCCUGAUUAUACAUCCCGAUUAUACACCCCCGAUUAUACACCCCCGAUUAUACACCCCCGAUUAUACAUCCCGAUUAUACACCCCCGAUUAUAAACCCCGAUUAUACGUCCCCGAUUAUACACCCCUGAUUAUACGUCCCCGAUUAUACACCCCUGACUAUACACCCCUGAUUAUAAACCCCGAUUAUAUAUCCCAAUUAUACGUCCCCGAUUAUACACCCCUGAUUAUACGUCCCCGAUUAUACACCCCCGAUUAUACGUCCCCGAUUAUACACCCCCGAUUAUACGUCCCUGAUUAUACGUCCCCGAUUAUACACCCCUGAUUAUACGUCCCCGAUUAUACACCCCUGAUUAUAAACCCCGAUUAUAUAUCCCCGAUUAUACACCCCUGAUUAUAAACCCCGAUUAUACGUCCCCGAUUAUACACCCCUGAUUAUACGCCCCCGAUUAUACGCCCCCGAUUAUAAACCCCGAUUAUACGCCCCCGAUUAUAGGCCCCCGAUUAUAUGCCCCCGAUUAUAAACCCCGAUUAUACGCCCCCGAUUAUACGCCCCCGAUUAUACACCCCCGAUUAUACAUCCCGAUUAUACGCCCCCGAUUAUACGCCCCCGAUUAUACGCCCCCGAUUAUAAACCCCGAUUAUACGCCCCCGAUUAUACGUCCCCGAUUAUACGCCCCCGAUUAUACACCUCGAUUAUACACCCCCGAUUAUAAACCCCGAUUAUACGCCCCUGAUUAUACGCCCCCGAUUAUACACCCCUGAUUAUACGUCCCCGAUUAUACACCCCUGAUUAUACACCCCUGAUUAUACACCCCUGAUUAUAGACCCCUGAUUAUAGAUCCAGUGCAGCGUCGGAAUAUGAAGUGAUGUCUUAAUUUCGAUAUGUACAGACACACACUAGGCUGAGAUUAUCCAUCUCCCUCUUUCUCUCCCUCAUUUGCCCUCUCUCUUUCACGCUCUUCUCACAUUAUAGCGUUUACGUGUCAGCCGCGUUAUUUGACUUCCCUGACCUGUGCACUAACUAUCUGCUCUCUACAGUAGCUCCCAUUAAACACUGCUGAGCCUGGGUCACACGCUC